GUCAAACCGUCGGAGAACGUGGACUCUGGCACCGCCAUCUUCCUCGCAUCGAAAUACCGUGAUACCAUCAUGUUGAUCUAAACCAGAAUCUACAAUACACAGAAAUAUGUCAAGAUAAAAGAGCCAAGCCUUGAGGAAUUCUUAACUUCUGCUUUCUUGAAGUUCUCAGUUCCGCCAGUCAAUGAAGGUGUCAAGGUUUUUGAUGAAACAGGAACUGAGGUGGAUGCAGAGGUCUUCGCUGACAUAGCGCAGCUUCCCAACACUGGCAUACUAACCAUCACGUUUGAUGACGAUUUGAAGGAAACUUUGUCCAGCAGUUCCCAAGAUGCAAAUUCCAGUGCACUGUCUGCUAGUAAUGACACUGUCAUCCUCGAAAUCUUGUCCUGCGCCUCAGAUGACACAGUCAUACUGGAGGAGAGUGGCAGUCCAUCCAGAAAGCGACAGAGGGAAGAUGGAGAGGCCAAACAUGUAAGUUGGUGUAUGGAUUUUUUUUUGCAAUUCAUUACUCUGGGAGUUACCAUGUUUUGUUAGAUUUUUAAGUGUAUGUAUUGUCAGUUGUGAAAAGCUUGUCUACUUCACAGGUGGUUGAAUUGGUGCUAACAAGGAAACCUGGGGGCGACCGUAUCAUCAAAGAGUACCACCGCACUAAAAGUCUGACCGACUCCUCACGCCGACAAAUGGUCAACCUACUUGUGGCUGAUAUGACAGAAACGCAUGGGUAAUUUGGUUGUCUCUGAUAACUUUUUUUCUGUGUUUGUGCUAAAAACAUUUAUUACCGUAUGUUGUUCUUGCUAUUAGCUUUGUGCGAAAUCAUUGGAAGUAUGUCAUUUAAUAGAAAUGAGUUUACUCUUGUCAGGACGGCCCGCCACGGAAUGUGAGAGAGAUGUACGCUCGAGGCAUAGUUCAGCUCUUCCCGUACUUGAUGGAUCCCUACUCUAAAAAUGGAUAUGUAAGUAUUUUAAAGGGUUUGCAAACUAAGAGCAAAUUAUAAUGUGCAUGUGCUAAUAAAAUAGUUUAGAGAACUGAUUUAAAAAAUUAAAAUAGUGCAUUUAUAUUUCCACACCAACAUCCAGUUUUACAUUAAUAAAUAUAACUUCCUAAUUUCAACUAUCUUACUGCUGUUGGAACUAAUAUACAUUUUGUAUUUUCGAAGGAACAUUACUAUGAUGGUGAAAGUGGCAGUGGCUAUCUGGCAUGGCGGCUUAAAACUGUGCAGAGGAGAAGUGCUUCAUCAGAGAGCAGAGGGUCAUCACGUCAGCUGAAUGGAGGACCAGUAGCCAGAAGAGAAGCUUCCUUUAGUCCUGAGAUGACCUUAAGUGAAGAGCAAUGCCUGGAGGCCAUGGCCUUAAUGAGAUACUGUACUGAUGAGGCUACUAUCAAGCAGAAGAUGAUGAUGACAUUUAAACAUCGUCGCAGUAUGGUCCUCGAUGGAGAGAAAUCCUCAGAUGUCUUGACUGAAUUUCCCCGCUUCAAAGAUUUCAAA